rnacentral:rRNA from 1 species
AAAUUGAAGAGUUUGAUCAUGGCUCAGAUUGAACGCUGGCGGCAGGCCUAACACAUGCAAGUCGAGCGGUAGCACAGAGAGCUUGCUCUCGGGUGACGAGCGGCGGACGGGUGAGUAAUGUCUGGGAAACUGCCUGGUGGAGGGGGAUAACUACUGGAAACGGUAGCUAAUACCGCAUAAUGUCGCAAGACCAAAGUGGGGGACCUUCGGGCCUCAUGCCAUCAGAUGUGCCCAGAUGGGAUUAGCUAGUAGGUGGGGUAACGGCUCACCUAGGCGACGAUCCCUAGCUGGUCUGAGAGGAUGACCAGCCACACUGGAACUGAGACACGGUCCAGACUCCUACGGGAGGCAGCAGUGGGGAAUAUUGCACAAUGGGCGCAAGCCUGAUGCAGCCAUGCCGCGUGUGUGAAGAAGGCCUUCGGGUUGUAAAGCACUUUCGGCGGGGAGGAAGGCGGUGAGGUUAAUAACCUCA